rnacentral:snRNA from 1 species
GUGAGGGUGAUCUGGCUGCAACAUCUAUCACCCUUUUAAUUGCUAGGGUUGGUCCUACUGGUCUGGCCAUGUAGACAGGUGUUUCCUUCCUCCCUUACCCCAUCCCUCUGGAAGCUGAGCACUCAGUCCAGUGGACCAUCUUCCCCUAGAGAAGAGGACCAUCAAAAAAAAAAAAAAAAGAAAGAAAGAAAGAAAGAAAAAGAAAAGAAAGAAAAAGGAAGGACUAUGCUUAUGCUUUCCUCCAAGGUACGUGAGUGGCUGCACUCCCCUGAUAGAAAUCCGAAAGAAGCCCUCAAGGCUCCUUUGUAAAAGGACAUUAGGUAACUUUCCAAAACUCUACAUAUGAGCCCCUGGGGCACUGCACGUGGCAGACAUCCUAUAUUA